GACGAACGCUGGCGGCGUGCCUAAUACAUGCAAGUCGAGCGGAUGACGGAGGAGCUUGCUCCUCCUGAUUCAGCGGCGGACGGGUGAGUAACACGUGGGCAACCUGCCCUGUAGAUUGGGAUAACUCCGGGAAACCGGGGCUAAUACCGAAUAAUCCUUCGGACCUCAUGGUCCGAUGUUGAAAGACGGUUUCGGCUGUCACUACAGGAUGGGCCCGCGGCGCAUUAGCUAGUUGGUGAGGUAACGGCUCACCAAGGCCACGAUGCGUAGCCGACCUGAGAGGGUGAUCGGCCACACUGGGACUGAGACACGGCCCAGACUCCUACGGGAGGCAGCAGUAGGGAAUCUUCCACAAUGGACGAAAGUCUGAUGGAGCAACGCCGCGUGAGUGAAGAAGGUUCUCGGAUCGUAAAACUCUGUUGUGAGGGAAGAACAAGUACCGGAGUAACUGCCGGUGCCUUGACGGUACCUCAUUAGAAAGCCACGGCUAACUACGUGCCAGCAGCCGCGGUAA
rnacentral:rRNA from 1 species